UCAUGGGGGAUNCAGCGUGCUUAAGCCGUGUGGAGGAUGAAGCCUUCGGNGUAAAAACUCCUGUCAUGCGAGAACAAGAAAGUGAUAGUAUCGCAAGAGGAAGAGAUGGCUAACUCUGUGCCAGCAGCCGCGGUAAUACAGAGGUCUCAAGCGUUGUUCGGAUUCAUUGGGCGUAAAGGGUGCGUAGGCGGCGUGGAAAGUUGAGUGUGAAAUCCUAUGGCUUAACCUUAGAACUGCACUCAAUACUCCCAUGCUAGAGGAAUGUAGAGGAGAGUGGAAUUCACGGUGUAGCAGUGAAAUGCGUAGAUAUCGUGAGGAAGACCAGUUGCGAAGGCGACUCUCUGGGCAUAACCUGACGCUGAGGCACGAAGGCCAGGGGAGCAAACGGGAUUAGAUACCCCGGUAGUCCUGGCAGUAAACGGUGCACGUUUGGUGUGGGCGGGUUCAGAGCCCGUCCGUGCCGGAGCUAACGCGUUAAACGUGCCGACUGGGAAGUACGGUCGCAAGAUUAAAACUCAAAGAACUUGACGGGGGCCCGAACAAGCGGUGGAGUAUGUGGAUUAAUUCGAUGCAACGCGAAGAACCUUACAUGGUCUUGACAUGCAUCUCUAAGUUAGUGAAAGUUC
rnacentral:rRNA from 1 species